rnacentral:rRNA from 1 species
GAGGAAUCUUGCGCAAUGGGGGAAACCCUGACGCAGCCACGCCGCGUGGGUGAAGAAGGCCUUCGGGUUGUAAAGCCCUGUCAGGUGGGAAGAACCGCAGUCUGGCCAAUACCUGGACUGCUUGACGGUACCACCAAAGGAAGCACCGGCUAACUCCGUGCCAGCAGCCGCGGUAAUACGGAGGGUGCAAGCGUUGUUCGGAAUUACUGGGCGUAAAGCGCGUGUAGGCGGACCGGUAAGUCGGGAGUGAAAGCCCUGGGCUCAACCCAGGAAGUGCUUCCGAUACUGCCGGCCUUGAGUUCCGGAGAGGGUGGUGGAAUUCCCGGUGUAGAGGUGAAAUUCGUAGAUAUCGGGAGGAACACCAGUGGCGAAGGCGACCACCUGGACGAGAACUGACGCUGAGACGCGAAAGCGUGGGGAGCAAAC